UGCCCCAGUAACGGCGAGUGAAGCGGCAAAAGCUCAAAUUUGAAAUCCUGCGGGAAUUGUAAUUUGAAGGUUUCGUGGUCUGAGUCGGCCGCGCCCAAGUCCAUUGGAACAUGGCGCCUGGGAGGGUGAGAGCCCCGUAUGGCGCACGCCGACUCUUUGUACACCGCGGCUCCGACGAGUCGAGUUGUUUGGGAAUGCAGCUCUAAGUGGGUGGUAAAUUCCAUCUAAAGCUAAAUAUUGGCGAGAGACCGAUAGCGAACAAGUACAGUGAUGGAAAGAUGAAAAGCACUUUGAAAAGAGAGUGAAACAGCACGUGAAAUUGUUGAAAGGGAAGGGCUUGCAAGCAGACACGGUUUUACCGGGCCAGCGUCGAAAAGGGGGGAGGAACAAGAACUCGAGAAUGUGGCGCGCACCUUCGGGCGCGCGUGUUAUAGCUCGUGUUGACGCCUCCAUCCCUUUUCGAGGCCUGCGAUUCUAGGACGCUGGCGUAAUGGUUGCAAGCCGCCCGUCUUGAAACACGGACCAAGGAGUCUAACGUCUAUGCGAGUGUUUGGGUGCAAAACCCCAGCGCGGAAUGAAAGUAAGAGGUUGGAGCCGCAAGGCGCA
rnacentral:rRNA from 1 species